GCUGCUUCGGAAAAACAAACUAGAAUUGGAAUGAUACAGCAAAGAUUAGCAUGACCCCUGCGCAAGGAUGACACGCAAAUUCGUGAAGCGUUCCGUAUUUUA